rnacentral:misc_RNA from 1 species
GCGAGAUUCAAUAUAGAAGAUGGAGGUGGAAAAGAAGAUGGCGCCGGCAUGACUGAGGGCAGAGGUGGUGGAGGGGGAGGGGGAGGGGGGGAUGAUGGCAAAGGAGGAGAUGAAGGGGGGCCAUCCUUCGGAAGUGGGGGAUGGAAGGAGGCUCCAAAACUGUUCCCACCAUUAGGACGUGAAAUUAGACCAGAAUCUGUUCCAAUGCUGUGACUGAUGGAAGCAUUUUCACCUUCACAC